CCCAGCCUACCCGUCAGCGACCUAGCACUGCCCAGCCCUCCCGGAGCUUGGGUCCGUGGUUGCCGGGAAACCUUCGGUGAGCUUCCUCAGCGUUCUGAGGUUGCUAGGAGACGAGACGACGCGGGCCCAAGGGAGAGAGCAUGUGCAGCCCGGGCUCCGGGGGGCAGACAACGUUCGGGAGGGGUGCCGAUUUCCAAGCUGAGGGUUCGAGGGAGCUGGGAGACUGGAGUGAGUUCUCUCCUGGUCCCUCCUGACCCCCCCCGCCAGACAGAAGCCAGGUAAGAGGCUCUGUGUCCCACAUUCCAGCAGGCCAUCUGUGUCCCCCUGGGCUCUACCCCCACAUUCCAGGCAGCAUCCCAGUGUCCAAGCACCAUCCAGAGGCGGGGUGAUCGCUGGCUGGGAAGGCUGGGGAAGGCUCCUCCAGGGGAGGGGGAGGGGGACUCAGUGGUCUCUGAAAUCCCUUCUCACCUCAAAGACCAGAAUUCAGAGAGUCUCUAGUCUGUGAGGCUGAGAUGCCAUACUUGGACUCCAAGAGUCUGUGGCCUUAUCACCUUCUAGACUUCUUGAGGUGCAGAAACCACAUCCCAUUGGAACAGAGCCUAGCACAAUGCCCACAACAGGUGCUUCAUAAAUGUUUGUGGUUUUUGCUGUCUUAUGACUCUGACAUUCUGUGAUCUAAGAUCCUGUGGCUCUAAGGUUCUAGUAUGUGGUACUGACCAUAAGGGUUAGAACACCUGUGGGGAUCCUAUGGACUUUGGGACCUCAGAACACUGGAUAUCUGAGCUGGGAAGGGAGGGCCUUAGAACAGGAAAUGUCAGAGCUGGGAGGGGCCUUAGAACAGGGGAUGUCAGAGCUGGGAGGGGCCUUAGAAGAUAGGCACUUUGAGGGCUGGACCUGGCCCACAGGAAUGUGAACCCAGGAAUCCUGGUGCCUUGUGGUCUGUGAGGCUGCCAGUAACAGCCAAGAACAGGCAUUCCAGCACAGUCAUUUAACAUUCACUAAGCCUCUGCUAAGUUCUAGGCACUGUGCUAAGCACACAGAAAAACAAAGCCAAUCCCUGCCCUCAUGAAGCUUACAAUGUAAUGGGAGAAGACAGUAAGUUGGGGGUGAUGGAGAGUUCUACAGUGUAGCUGGUGGAGACAGGAGAAAGACGCUGAGCUGCUUUUUAGACACAGGCCCCGUUCUCCUGCCAUGGGGUCUUCCCAAAGCUGAGAAGUUGCUUCCCAGGGAGCUGGGUCAAACUGACAGGGGAAAGAGUCCCCCACCCACUGCACACACGUCCCCUGUGCCCCCAACACCAUAGGGUGACACCCCCCCACUGCCCUCCCCCAGCCCAGCCGCCCUGCCUGGCAGUGCCAAGGAUGCCCCACCCAGGGGGUCCCGGGCCGUCCUGCCGCCAAGAAGAAUAUGUCUGGAGGCUAACCCAGCUCCUGGGCUCAGUGUCCCCUGGGCGAGGAGAGCUCAGCCCCUGCAGCUCGGACUCCAUCUGUACGGAGGACUUUGCCGCUUGCUUCCAAGAGGCCAUGGUGGAGGCUGUGCUGCCUAAGGAGCAGGAGGAGGGGGCCCGUGCCAGAAGCCCUGAGUCCCUGGGGGGGGCCACAUCUCCCGGCUGAGCCAGGGCUCCACUCCCCAGCCGCUCAGCUCCUGGGGCUGCCAGCAGCCCCCCAAGGAGGAGUGUUCCUCACUCCCGGAGGACCCCAGCCCCAGGUCGGGCCCACCUGCACCAGGCGCUGCAGGGCCUAGAUCUCUGCCCCACUUGGGGGGCCCCUUCCCUGAGAAGCGGAGACACAAAAGAGAUUCUGGAGUUGGGCAGGCGAGAAGCCAGAGUGGGGGCCUUGAGGCAGCCGGCCUCCACACUGGGAGCAGGAAUCCUCGGCCCUGUCUUCGCGCUUCUCCCCACAACAGAAGGGUCCACUGGGCCCCAGAGCCAUCCCUGAACGUCCGGCCUGAUGGUCCAGCCUGGGAGGCCCCAGCCCUGAGGCAGCUGUCCAGGCCUUUGGCAGGACCCCAGGACCCCAAGCUGUUUCUGGGUAGGCUCCCAGCAUCUCCCUGCAACCCUGGAUCUCUCCUCCCAUCCUGCCCACUGGAAUACCCAUCUCCUGGCUCCCAGAAACAACAGCCCAGCCUUAGCCACAGACAGGGGCUUAAAAAAGAGCAGGAGACCCCAGGGGACCCCAAGCCCUGGAAAUGGAGCAAGAAACCAGAAAGGAUGAAGGAUGGCAAGAUUUUGAAGAACAGGGAGGAGUGGGUAGCUGGGGGCACACACAGAGCAGGAAAGGAGAAGCCAGACGUCUCUGUUCAGGAUGGAGGCCCUGGGCAGUUCAGAGUUAUGGGAGCUACGAACACCAAGCACGGAGUAGCCCAGGCAGAUUCUGGCACAAGUGGGAGAUAGCAGCAGCUGAUGCCUGAGACUCCAGCCGGUGUGGAAGCCCCCAGGCCCGGGAGUCCUGGACUUGGGCUGAAGUUCGUCGGGGCCCUGCUUGAGGCUGCCCGCUGCCGCCUCGGGGAUGUGAUUCAGCAAGCUGAAAUCCUGCAAGAGGCCCUGCAGGAGCUGCAGAGGAACAGGCUGGCAUCCAUGCCCGGUGGCUGCAAGGGCCCAGAGUCUUCUGCUGUGGGCCAGGAAUACAAUGUGGAUGGAAGCGCAGCAUCCCCCAGCCUGGCCUGGUCAGGCCCACUCUCAGAGGGACCACUGGGGCGGGGCCGAGGAAGGGCCCACCUGCCCAUCAAAGCAGGCUUCCGGAGGGCCUAGGCUUCAGCCUGGGGAGAUUCAUGGGAGGGCAGGCCCCAGUCCUGUCCUUAGCCUGAGCAGCCCAGAAACACCAGGUAGAGAACCCUCUGACAGAGACUGUGACGACCAGAAGGUCGGGCCUUCAGAACAUCAAGGCGGGAAAAGACCUCAGCGUCCCCCGAGUCCAGUCCACACCUAACUACGCGUCGUGUCAACAAGUGGACAUCCCUCAUCUGUUUGAAGACCCCCAGUGACGGGGAGCUCACCACCUUCUCAGGCAGCUCUUUCUGUUUGGGGAUGGUUCUCAUACUUAGGAAAUUUUUCCAGGCCUCAGGUCAAAAUCUGUAUCUUUGCAACUCCCCCUCCCCCGACCCUCCCACCCACCCAGGGGUCCUGGUUCUGCCUUCGGGGACAAAGCUAAUCCCUCUUUCCCACGGUUAGCCCUUUCAAAUACCUGAAGAUGGCUCUCCUGGCUCCCUGAGGUUUCUCCAGAUUCCACGGCCUUGGCUCCUUCGACCCUCCCUUUUCAGGCCCUUCCCUGUCCUGGUCACCCUCCUUUAGAGGCCCUCCAGCUGACUGAUGUCCUUCUUAAACCGUGCUGUCCAGCUCUGAGCGCAGCCUUCUGCUGUGGUCUGACCAGGAGAGAGGCCCCUGGGAUCCCCAUACCCCUCCGGUGGAGCCUGAGUCCUCUGCUAAUUCAGCCAAAGGCCCCAUUGCCUUCUGUGGCUGCCACAUCACACCGGGAAGGCAGUCCACCGAGACCCCCAGAUCUUCCUCUAGCCAUGCGUCCUACAUCUUGUGACCUUGUCCUAAGAGGAGAGAUGGAACCAAAGGACCUCGAUUCACCUUCUGGCCCCGCUCUGACACCUUGGACGAGUCAUUUCUCUCGGCCUUAAUUUUCUCAUCUAUAAAACGAAGGGCUUGGGCUCUCAUGGCCCUUCCGGCACUAAAUCUACGGUCCUAUAAACGUUUAUCUCUAUUAAACUUCUCCAGUAACAAGCAUUUGUUUUUUCUCAUUCCCACCCCUGUCUCCCCUCUCCCAUUGAGAAAGAAAGACAAACAAGACCCUCGGGUCGGCGUCCACAGCCAGACAUCCCCGCGGGGGCCGCGGCCCACACGCUGAGCCCGCAGCCUCACUCGGGAGGCGGGGAGCAGGCCCGAGAGGUCCGGCCCCGGAGUCACAGUCCUCAGCCUUUCAAAGGCGUUUGUCCUAAUCCGCCGCUGCUUUGGUGAACCGGCGCUCCUCCGCGCUGGGGCCCGGCCUCCUCCGUAAGUCUGACCUCGCGGCAUGCACUUUUUCUACCUCCUUUUCUUCUGAACUUUGUGCUGUCCGGGAAUGUGAUGAGGAGGAGAGUGCAUCGCCGAGAAAGGGCCGAUCCCUGGGGCGCCCCGCUAGACGCCUCCGUGUUGCCAUUAAAGACGGCUUUUCCAGUCUGAGGAUCCAAGUACUGUAUAGUCUGGCCCAUGGUUCUCCCUUUGCCACGAGGAAGCACAAGAGGCCAAAAGGGGUUAGAUCAUCAGGAGGCCUCAGAGGACCUGGGAUCCCCAGCGUCUGCGGAAAUCUGUGAACGUCUCCCUGGGGAAGUGGGCCAGAAGCUGAGACCUAGCGACGUGAAGAGCUGAGGGGGGACUAGGGGUGCUGGGGAAGUAGGGAGCCACCACUAGCACCCUGAAACAGGACAGGGACCUCUGCGUCCUCCAGUGGGAAUGGGGCCACAGAACGCCAAAAUUGACUCAGGGCUGGAAGCCAAGUCUGAGCGGAGCCACGUGGCCCAGACUGGGCCUUGACCAAACACUCCCGAGUGUUCCUCCAGCCUUUCCUUGAAGAGGGAAGCCCCGCUGCCUCCUGCAGCAGCCCGUGCUGCUUUGGGACCCCCUCCUGGUGAGGACAGCUCCCCGGGAUCACGACCCCCCUGAGGCUUCGCUUCUCAUCCUGAGGCUGUCUGAGGCCCCUCCUUCCGAGGCUCCUGCUGUCCUAAGUUCCAGCCUCUUCUGGUCCUUCCUCAGUUGUAAUGCCACACCUGGGGCUGCUGUGGCCUCCCCCCACGGCCCUUCUCCUGGCUCUCCCUGCCUGGGUUCGGCUGUGUGGACCGGCCCGGGAGAGGGACGGGGCAAUGACUGCUCCAUUCUUAAAGGAUCCAUGGCAGGGGCCGAGGAAGGGCCAGGGUUCUUCCAGAUCGCUGUUCCCUCAGUCUCUGUAUCUCUGCCCCUCACAGCAUGUCUCCGGCCCCUCUGAGGCUCUGCUGGGGUGGGGGAAGAGGCUGUGUCCUUGGCCCCAUGGAGACUUGUCAGGGCAGAGGACCCAAAGCCCUUCUUCCCCCCAACUCCUGUGAACCCCAAAUUGGUCUCUGACCUGAUUCUGGCUCUUUUGGGGAACCCCUAGCCUUCUUCAAGUCAAUGGGAUGGAGAUUCCUGAACCCAGGGGAAAUCUGACCUGAAUUGUACCUCCCUGGGGCCUGCCUCUGUCUCCCCCAGCCCAGAGCUCCCCAAGGAGGGGGAGGGCAGGCCCGCAGGCCGGCAGGCCGUCCUAGAGGCUCAGCCCAGGUUAAUGAGCGCUGACCUUUCCCAUAAACAAUGUGUCCCAGGCCCCUAAUUAGCCCAUUGUCCUCAGCCCCUGCUGGGAGGAACUGCAGAGGGCGGGGCAGGACCAGGAUGGGGCCUUUUGCUGAAGAAACGCAAAUUCUCUGCCCAGGCCAAGACUUCACCCCACACCCACCCACUCCCUCAGUGGAGAACUGGUCCAAGCCCCGCCCAUUUCCUAUGCAGCAAACAGGGACCCUGCAGGCAUCCCAAGGACUACUAUGCAGUGGGGGAUGGGAGGAGGGAGACCUUCAGGGGCUAGAGAAGAGGCCAUGGAACUGGGAAUAUCAGAGAUGGAAGGGGGCUUAGAACAGGGGAUGGCCGGGCUGGCAGGGGCCUGAGGACAGGGGAUGUCAGAGCUGGGAGGGGCCUGAGAACAGGGGAUGUCAGAGCUGGGAGGUCCACCAUUCUGGGCCUUGGUAUCUUCUUGGCAGGAAGAUGAGGCCGAGGCCUGUGGGAACCUGUCUUCUUCUCCAGCUCAGCCACCUCAGGCUGGAGGAGGGGCAGGAGGCCAGCUGGACCCUGUGCCCAUCACCUAUCCCUCAUCACUGUUGCCAGGCUCACUGAGGCACGGAAUGAGGUGGUGACUGAGGCAGCCCAUUCACCUCCCGUUCAUUUAUCUUGGGAAAAUAAACAUGCCCUUCCAGGAAUUGUAUCCUGAGAGACCCCUCCCUCCUUCUGCACUCCCUCCCUCCCUCCAGCAUCUGGCCCCUGUCUCAUAGGGAGACAGGCCAAAGCCUCCACGGUUGCAUAGGAUUGGGCCUGCCUUGAGGUAACAGCUGCCAAGGCCCAGGCUGGGGGACACUUGGCACAGAAAGGGGCAUUUCCCCCAUUUUGGCAGAUGGGGAAACUGAGGCAGUGGGGCUUGGGGGCUAACCUGACCUGCCAGUCACAUUUCCUGGAAGACACCAGCCAGGACUGACAGAGAAUGCAGGUGAUCAGGCUCUUCUCAUUUGCCCUGUCUGCGUGACACUUCCCGGGCUACGUCAGACUCUAGGCGCCAGCAUUCAGGUCCUAACGUGAGUCACUGGAUUGGCAGAGGCAGAACCAUCCCAGAGUUCAGGGCCCCUGAACUGGGCACCCCCGAGAAAUGCUGGCCGGCGCCUGACUGCCCACUCCAGAGUGAGCACGUGGAGAGAUGGUCCCAACUGUCAAGUUUUCAACUCCUGUCUAGGGCAUGAAACAGUCAGGGACUGGGGCAGAGAAGCGAUUCUCCCCAUCCCGCCCCUCCAUAGGUCCAUUGAAUGCCAGAGCUAGGAAGGACGUAGAACACUGAAUAUUAGAUAUGGGAAGGACCUUAGAACCUUGAAUGUCAGAGUAGGAGGGCCCUUAGAACCCGAAAGUCAGAGCUGGGAAUGACCUUAGAACCUUGAGUGUCAAAAUAGGGGUUACCUUAGAACCUUGAAUGUCAGAGCAGGAGGGUCCUUAGAAUCUGAAAGUCAGAGCUGGGAACAACUUUAGAACCCAAAAGUCAGAGCUGGGAAUGAUCUUAGAACCUUGAAUGUCAGAACAGGGGUCGCCUUAAAACUCUGAAUGUCAGAGCAGGAGGGUCCUUAGAACCUGAAAGUCAGAACAAGGGUCACCUUAGAACCUUGAAUGUCAGAACAGGGAGGUCCUUAGAGCCUGAAAGUCAGAGCUGGGAAUGACCUUAGAACCUCAAAUGUCAGAACAGGGAUUGCCUCAUAACCUUCAAUGUCAGAACCCUGACAUUUGUUAGAAUCCUGAAAAUUAAAACUGGAAGGGACCUUGGAACCGUGAAUGUCUCAGCAGAAGGGCCCUUAGAAUGUAAUUUUAUUUCCUCAGUUACCCCAUUGGUAAAAAUGAGGAAAAUGCCCCUUCCUCUGUCAGGUGUCCCCCUCCCUUCAUUUCUAGGGGUGAUCUUUGAAGGAUAAUCUAAGCUAAUUUAUUACCAGUCUGGGCCCCUGCAACUCUUACCUCAGAGAGUCCUAAAUCCUAGUUUCUCUCGUCCUUAAAAAAUCACCUCAGACAAGGGGGUGGGGGCUCCCGAUGCUCCCUGUGGCUCUGGACCUGGAUGCUCGGAAACGUGCUGGCCUCCCUUCCCGGGCCCACCCUCCUUCAGCUCCCAGGGCCUCCUCCCCUCCCGGAGGUCCUUCUUGAGCUUCCAGAACCAGACUGAUGCCUCAGCAGCAGAUGGGGCGGGAUACGAGGUCCAUGGGAUGGGAGAGUCAAGGGACUUUUUUGGUUUGGGUUGGGUUUAAUUUGAAUUUUAGUUUAAUUUUAAUUUAAGAACGAGGGUCGGUCUCCAGUCCCAAAUCCAGCAGACGGAUGCUUAGAUGUACCCAGCCCUCCUCAGAGAGGUGGGGGACGUCGGGCACGGAGGCACACGUUCCUUUUCAGAUCUGCCAGAUGUAUCGACAGAUUUUGCUUGAUUUGAAAGCAGAAUCCCGGCCAGGGCAGCCAGCCCUCAGGAAACAGAGAUGAUAUUGUUUUACAAAGCAAAGAAAACUGCAGGGCCAGAAGAUGGACACAGUCCAAUCCAACCCUCUUAUGCUUCAGAAGAGGAAACUGAGUGACAGCCAGGACUUGCCUCCAAGUUAGAAUCAGAAGCCAGGCUCUCUGUCUUUCCCAUCCUUACCCAUCGACAAACAUACUUGAAGAAUCAGGACGAAUUAGGGGACCCUGGGCCUGUUUGCAGACAACAAAGGAAGAAGGCAGGGGCUGAAGGGGGCACUAAGUCUGGGGUCAAAUGACUGGGCCCCCUGUGAAGGGCAGAUGAUUCCUGGGGUCCCCCAGGCCCUCUCCCUGCUUGCUGUUAGCCCUCAGGAGAGAGAGUCAGACACCGCUCAGGAUGGCAGCCCCCACCAGGUGUGAAGAGCCUUUGAAAUGAACAAUUCCUGUCCCACCAACUGGUGCUCUGGGGGGCUCCAAGGGGGCUCCAGGCUGCCUGGCCUGGGGGAAGGAGUUAAUUAAAGGGGAUGCUGAGGCCUGAGCCCUGCCCCUUCCUCGGCGGGGCCUCCUGUGUUCCCUGAAGGCAGGGUCCAAGGCAGGCCAGAUGUUAUUGUGAGGGGAGCAGGGAGGGUCCCUGGAGCCCAGCGGAGGAAGGAAGCCUGGAGAAGGGGGCCCUCCCUUUGGACUGUCCCUCACCCUUUCCCCAGAAUCCAUCUCACUUUGCUGACACCCUCCCCCCCAGCCCAGGGGUUGUUUUUACCUUUGUAAAAUUUUGUUUUGGUAUUCCUAUCCCUUAGCAUGGGACCUUACAUAUAGU